GAUGACCUACGGGACGCAGCAGUGGGGAAUAUUGCACAAUGGGGGAAACCCUGAUGCAGCGACGCCGCGUGAGUGAAGAAGUAAUUCGUUAUGUAAAGCUCUAUCAGCAGGCAAGAAAAUGACGGUACCUGAGUAAGAAGCCCCGGCUAACUACGUGCCAGCAGCCGCGGUAAUACGUAGGGGGCAAGCGUUAUCCGGAUUUACUGGGUGUAAAGGGAGCGUAGACGGCAGUGCAAGUCUGGAGUGAGAGGCGGGGGGUCAACCCCC
rnacentral:rRNA from 1 species